rnacentral:tRNA from 1 species
AGUUUUAUAGUUUAAAAUAAAAUAUUAAAUUGCAAAUUUAAAGAUAAAUUUAUUAAUUUUAAGGCUU